AGAUUGAACGCUGGCGGAAUGCUUUACACAUGCAAGUCGAACGGCAGCACGGGACUCAGGCAACUGAGCCCUGGUGGCGAGUGGCGAACGGGUGAGUAACAUAUCGGAACGUACCCAGUCGUGGGGGAUAACGUCUCCGAAAGGAGAGCUAAUACCGCAUACGUCCUGAGGGAGAAAGCGGGGGACCUAAGGGUAACUGAGGGCCUCGCGCGAUUGGAGCGGCCGAUAUCGGAUUAGCUAGUUGGUGGGAAGGACGUCACCAACGACGACGAUCGUACGACGGUCGUCGAGAGGACGGACCGCCCGAC
rnacentral:rRNA from 1 species